rnacentral:rRNA from 1 species
AUUGAACGCUGGCGGCAUGCUUUACACAUGCAAGUCGAACGGCAGCGCGGGCUUCGGCCUGGCGGCGAGUGGCGAACGGGUGAGUAAUGCAUCGGAACGUGCCCAGUAGUGGGGGAUAGCCCGGCGAAAGCCGGAUUAAUACCGCAUACGACCUGAGGGUGAAAGCGGGGGACCGAAAGGCCUCGCGCUAUUGGAGCGGCCGAUGUCGGAUUAGCUAGUUGGUGGGGUAAAGGCUUACCAAGGCGACGAUCCGUAGCUGGUCUGAGAGGACGACCAGCCACACUUGGACUGAGACACGGCCCAGACUCCUACGGGAGGCAGCAGUGGGGAAUUUUGGACAAUGGGGGCAACCCUGAUCCAGCCAUGCCGCGUGCGGGAAGAAGGCCUUCGGGUUGUAAACCGCUUUUGUUCGGGAAGAAAUCCUCUGGGCUAAUACCCCGGGGGGAUGACGGUACCGGAAGAAUAAGCACCGGCUAACUACGUG